GACGAACGCUGGCGGCGUGCUUAACACAUGCAAGUCGAACGGAAAGGCCCUGCGUUUGUGGGGUGCUCGAGUGGCGAACGGGUGAGUAACACGUGAGUAACCUGCCCCUGACUUUGGGAUAACUUCAGGAAACUGGGGCUAAUACCGGAUAGGAGCUCCUGCUGCACGGUGGGGGUUGGAAAGUUGCGGCGGUUGGGGAUGGUCUCGAGGCUUAUCCGCCUGAUGGUGGGGUUGGGGAUUCCAAGGCUUUGACGGGUAGCCGGCCUGAGAGGGUGACCGGGCACAUUGGGACUGAGAUACGGCCCAGACUCCUACGGGAGGCAGCAGUGGGGAGUAUUGCACAAUGGGCGGAAGCCUGAUGCAGCAACGCCGCGUGCGGGAUGACGGCCUUCGGGUUGUAAACCGCUUUCGCCUGUGACGAAGCGUGAGUGACGGUAAUGGGUAAAGAAGCACCGGCUAACUACGUG
rnacentral:rRNA from 1 species